rnacentral:rRNA from 1 species
UUGCACGCUGGCGGCAUGCCUUACACAUGCAGGUCGAACGGCAGCACGGGUGCUUGCCCCUGGUGGCGAGUGGCGAACGGGUGAGUAAUACAUCGGAACAUGUCCUGUAGUGGGGGAUAGCCCGGCGAAAGCCGGAUUAAUACCGCAUACGAUCUACGGAUGAAAGCGGGGGACCUUCGGGCCUCGCGCUAUAGGGUUGGCCGAUGGCUGAUUAGCUAGUUGGUGGGGUAAAGGCCUACCAAGGCGACGAUCAGUAGAUGGUCUGAGAGGACGACCAGCCACACUGGGACUGAGACACGGCCCAGACUCCUACGGGAGGCAGCAGUGGGGAAUUUUGGACAAUGGGCGAAAGCCUGAUCCAGCAAUGCCGCGUGUGUGAAGAAGGCCUUCGGGUUGUAAAGCACUUUUGUCCGGAAAGAAAUCCUUGGCUCUAAUACAGUCGGGGGAUGACGGUACCGGAAGAAUAAGCACCGGCUAACUACGUG